rnacentral:rRNA from 1 species
UACGGAGGGUGCGAGCGUUAAUCGGAAUUACUGGGCGUAAAGCGUGCGUAGGUGGUUUAAUAAGUUAUCUGUAAAAGUCCUGGGCUUAACCUGGGGGUGUCGGAUGAUACUGUUGGACUUGAGUAUAGGAGAGGGUGGAGGAAUUCCUGGUGUAGCGGUGAAAAUGCGUAGAUAUCAGGAGGAACACCGGUGGCGAAGGCGACUCCUGGCCUAAUACUGACAUGAG